GGAGAAGUGUCCGAGUGGUUUAAGGAGCUGGUCUUGAAAACCAGUGACUCCGAAAGGAGCCGUGGGUUCGAAUCCUACCUUCUCCGCCA
rnacentral:tRNA from 1 species